rnacentral:rRNA from 1 species
AACUUUCGGCAACGGAUCUCUUGGUUCCCGCAUCGAUGAAGAACGCAGCGAAAUGCGAUACGUAAUGUGAAUUGCAGAACUCAGUGAAUCAUCGAAUCUUUGAACGCACCUUGCACUCUUUGGUAUUCCGAAGAGUAUGUCUGUUUGAGUGUCA